rnacentral:rRNA from 1 species
AAUAGAUACCCGGGUAGUCCACGCCGUAAACGAUGAGUGCUAAGUGUUAGGGGGUUUCCGCCCCUUAGUGCUGCGGCUAACGCAUUAAGCACUCCGCCUGGGGAGUACGGUCGCAAGACUGAAACUCAAAGGAAUUGACGGGGGCCCGCACAAGCGGUGGAGCAUGUGGUUUAAUUCGAAGCAACGCGAAGAACCUUACCAGGUCUUGACAUCCCGCUGACCGCUAUGGAGACAUAGCUUUCCCUUCGGGGACAGCGGUGACAGGUGGUGCAUGGUUGUCGUCAGCUCGUGUCGUGAGAUGUUGGGUUAAGUCCCGCAACGAGCGCAACCCUUGUCCUUAGUUGCCAUCAUUCAGUUGGGCACUCUAAGGAGACUGCCGUACAAAUACGGAGGCAGGUGGGGAUGACGUCAAAUCAUCAUGCCCCUUAUGACCUGGGCUACACACGUGCUACAAUGGACGGUACAAACGGUUGCGAAGUCGCGAGACGGAGCCAAUCCGGGAAAGCCGUUCUCAGUUCGGAUUGCAGGCUGC